GAUACAACUUGGCCAAUUGUUGUGAAUCAGAUCGAGCACAAUGAGACAGCAAAAGAAGAGACCCAGCCUGCAGAAAUGGAAGAAGUCCAACCCUUGAAUGAGACACCAGCUAGAGAGCAGCUCAAGACAGGUCCAGCUCGCGCGAGAAAGAAACCAGGAUGGCUCAAAAGGCUUUGUCAUUUGAGGAAUGUUCGAGAAUGCUUGAGAUAUCAUAAUAACGAAUAUUGUUCUGUUUUCAAUUAUUGUUUUGUUGUUAUCAAUUUUAUUCUAUUUAGUUAGUUAAGGGUGCGUGGCUGUUUUUGGAAGGGAGAAUAUAUUGUACUGUCAAGGGACCCGUGAGGGAUAUGAAAAAGAAUAUACAUUUUGUCCUUUUUUCAGCUUCGUCUUCUUUCUCUUCUCUGCAACUCCCCUGUCCCCUUUCUCUUUCUUCAAAUUCUUUUCCCCACAGAUUGGAGCCUGCACUCGCUCAAAGAGUGUCGUAUCAACUGGUGCUUUCAUUGAAUCUCUUCACACAAGAAAAAAAAAAAAAAAAAAAAAAAAAAAAAACAAAUGUCUCUCACAGAACCCACGACUGAUUCAGCAGUUCUCUCCACCAUGAAGACGCUCAUUGAAAAUCAAACGCUUGCUGUUCAUCAGACCUUACAACAAUAUAUGUCCACGAUGGAUUCUCGUUUUGAGGAGCUACGUUCCCAAAUCAAUGGUUCUGUCGGAGCGUCAGUGGGUUCUUCCCGCCCAAUGGCACCGGAACCAGCGUCUUCGACUGUACUGUCAGGUGUUUCUGAUAUCUCUCCUCUGUUGCGUUCUAUGAAAAUGGAUGUCCCAAAAUUUGAUGGCACUGAUCCGACUGGUUGGGAUUUUCGAAUCAAUGAGUUCUUUGAUUUUCACGGCACCCCUGACCAUUUACGCCUUCGUAUUGUAUCUUUUCACAUGGAGGGAAAAGCAGCAGCAUGGUAUCAAUGGAUGAAGGCCAACAACUUGCUGAGCACUUGGCAGAAUUUUUUACUCAAUCUUAAGCAAAGAUUUGGUACAUCCAUGUAUGAAGAUCAUCAAGGUAACCUCUCCAAGCUCUCCCAAACGUCGACUGUUGCUGAUUUUCAGUCUGCCUUUGAGGAUUUGAUGAACAAGGUCACGGGCAUCUCCGAGCCAUUGUUGGUUAGUUUCUUUAUCACGGGCUUAAAACCCGAUAUCAGACGAGAAUUAUUAUUUGCAAGACCCACCUCUCUCAUGGAGGCUUUUGCUUUAGCCAAAGCUUAUGAGGCACGAUCGGAAGAAAUCAAGACCUCUAGCCGUUCUUGGACAAAGUGGACACCAUCCUCUACUCACACCCACCAAUCCACUGUUACUGCCUCCCCACAUCCUGCAUCAUAUAAAACCCCAACAAUAACUCCUCUUCCUAGUUUGUCCGCCACUAAACAGCCACCUCAACCCCCAUUAUUGCCUACUCCCACCUUGCCCAUUCGUCGAUUAACUCCAGCAGAAUUAAGAGAGAAAAGAGAAAAAGGGCUCUGUUACAACUGCGACCAAAAAUAUAGCGCCACACAUCGUUGUCGUAGCAAGUUUUUGUUAUUAAUGGGUACGGAUGAUAAAGAUGAUGAGCCAAGUGAGGACGCUUUUAGUCAUGCACAACCAGACGAAGUAGUCACAGCGGACAUAUCUAGUUUGAAUGCCUUGGCUGGGCAAACUAAUCCACGAUCUUUAAGGGUGCUGGGCACCGUUGCCAGCUAUCAGUUUCAGGUGUUAAUUGACAGUGGCAGUACCCACAAUUUUCUUAAGCCGCCAUUGGCUGAACGCCUUAGCCUUUCCGUUCAAGCUAUAACUCCUUUUCGAGUUUACAUUGGCAAUGGCGAUUUUCUUACUUGUCGAUUUCUCUGCCCUAAAGUGCCUAUCAAUAUGCAGGGGCAUGAAUUUCUUUUGGAUUUCUUCCUUUUGCCAAUCGAAGGCCCUGAUGCUGUCCUUGGGAUUCAAUGGUUACAAAGCUUGGGAAGAAUUUCUACGGAUUACUCCGAGAUGACGAUGGAGUUUCAGUGGGAGGGAAAAUCUGUCAUUUUACGGGGAGACCCAAUUCCAAACCCGAAUUUAAUCUCUUUUAACCAGUUUCAUGCCAUGCUUUGCUCAUUGAAAGAGAACUUACGACAAGCUCAGCAUCGAAUGGCUCAAAAGGCUAAUUUACAUCACCGAGAAACUCAAUUGCAGGUAGGUGAUAAAGUGCUGGUGCACCUUCAGCCAUAUCGCCAGACAUCAGUUGCUAAGCGCUCAUCUCACAAGCUGGCAAGGCUCUAUUAUGGACCAUUCACAGUGGUAGAGCGUCUUGGACCCGUUGCUUACAAGUUAGAGUUACCCACAAAUUGUAGAAUUCACCCGGUGUCCCAUAUUUCCUUACUAAAACCUUAUGUGGGAAACUCCCCCAUUGAUGUUUAUUCACUGCCUCCAGGAAGUGUGGAUAACAAGUCCCUGUCAUCGCCAAUUGCAGUAUGUGCUGAGCGAAAGAUACUUCGACAAGGCAAAGAAAUUCCACAAAUUUUGGUGCAAUGGUCUGAUAGCUCACCAGAAAAUUCGACUUGGGAGGACUUUGAGGAAUUUCGUAAACUCUACCCUGCACUACACCUUGAGGACAAGGUAAGCUUUCAAGGAAUGGGGAAUGAUACAACUUGGCCAAUUGUUGUGAAUCAGAUCGAGCACAAUGAGACAGCAAAAGAAGAGACCCAGCCUGCAGAAAUGGAAGAAGUCCAACCCUUGAAUGAGACACCAGCUAGAGAGCAGCUCAAGACAGGUCCAGCUCGCGCGAGAAAGAAACCAGGAUGGCUCAAAAGGCUUUGUCAUUUGAGGAAUGUUCGAGAAUGCUUGAGAUAUCAUAAUAACGAAUAUUGUUCUGUUUUCAAUUAUUGUUUUGUUGUUAUCAAUUUUAUUCUAUUUAGUUAGUUAAGGGUGCGUGGCUGUUUUUGGAAGGGAGAAUAUAUUGUACUGUCAAGGGACCCGUGAGGGAUAUGAAAAAGAAUAUACAUUUUGUCCUUUUUUCAGCUUCGUCUUCUUUCUCUUCUCUGCAACUCCCCUGUCCCCUUUCUCUUUCUUCAAAUUCUUUUCCCCACAGAUUGGAGCCUGCACUCGCUCAAAGAGUGUCGUAU
rnacentral:lncRNA from 1 species